rnacentral:rRNA from 1 species
UGGGGAAUAUUGCACAAUGGGCGAAAGCCUGAUGCAGCGACGCCGCGUGAGGGAUGACGGCCUUCGGGUUGUAAACCUCUUUCAGCAGGGAAGAAGCGUAAGUGACGGUACCUGCAGAAGAAGCACCGGCUAACUACGUGCCAGCAGCCGCGGUAAUACGUAGGGUGCGAGCGUUGUCCGGAAUUAUUGGGCGUAAAGAGCUCGUAGGCGGCUUGUCGCGUCGGAUGUGAAAGCCCGGGGCUUAACUCCGGGUCUGCAUUCGAUACGGGCAGGCUAGAGUUCGGUAGGGGAGAUCGGAAUUCCUGGUGUAGCGGUGAAAUGCGCAGAUAUCAGGAGGAACACCGGUGGCGAAGGCGGAUCUCUGGGCCGAUACUGACGCUGAGGAGCGAAAGCGUGGGGAGCGAACAGG